AUGACAGGGACAUCGCUGUUCUGGGCAGACUGCACACGAGCACAGCCCACGGCACGUGGUGCUCUCACUGAACGGCGCUUCCUGACCCAAAUUUUGAGCCCUCUGACUCUCGCAAGAGUUAGGCUAGAAGCUUGGCCACGGGUUUUCCUGCAGCCGGGCUGGGUAGAAGCUGAUCCUGCUGGAAGGAGCUUUCGAUUCCUUCUGAAUGUUGGAGUUUGCUUGUCUUUCCAGAUGCAGCACAAGCGACUCUUUAGUGCACCUUCCGGACAUGUCUGUGUGUAAAUACGUGUCCAGGCGGGGACAGAAGGAUCCCAGUUCUUGCAGAAGAAGCAGAUGCUCCUCUGUAGGGUUGCAUUUCAGACCUGUAUGCGUCAUUUGGGUAACGCAACUCUAAAGCUGUAAGGAACACCGUUCGUGGUGGCGUUGGACCUCCCAGCACAAGGCAGAGGACAAAAUUUUCCAAACUAUUUUUUUCUGCAAUUCUGUGGAACGUCUGGUGUUCGACGCUCAGAAAUGCUUAGUGGCGUUGGCUAUGUGACACCGCAGAGGAUAUCUAUGGAAACGGGAGGUGCUUGAGAAAAAUACAGAUUGUGACAGAUGUUGGAGAAGCCUAUUUUGAGAACUUUGGGCUGCUUCUGUAAACAAGCUGUAUUCCUGAGUGGAAUUCCUUACAGCAGCUGAGACAAUGGUGGGAAAUGGGUUCAGAGCCCCAGCGUGGGGCAGGCGCGGUACCGAGCGCUGCAGAGGAGGCUCGAGGCCUCUCAGCCCUGACCUGGGAGCAACGAGUCUGUAAACAGGAAUUCCACAGAAAACGGCUGCCGGGAGGAUGUUUUAGCCCCUUCGUUGUCUCCCCAUGGAGAUGGUUGAGCAUUAAGCAACUGUGUUUGUGGACUGCUUAGUGUUUUAAGACGCUACGUACACGCUUUUGAGCGAGAGACAGCCGGUGGCUCGAGGCUCUCCCUGUUACUGUCACGGAGGUGGUACGGGCGGUGCUGCGCCCCUCUCGGAGCCACCCGGGGUUUGUUAAAGCCGCUGAGCCCCCAGCGGCCUGAAGGACAGGGGGGCUGCAGGUGGGGGUCCCGCAGCACCCACAGGGAGGCUGGGGGGUCCCGACUGAGAGCCAGGGGCCUGAGGGGCAGGCAGGGGAGCAGGCAGCAGCCAGGGGAGCAGGCCAGGGGGCAACUGUGCCACUGCAAGGGGUGUAACGCAGAAAAGUCAGACUUCCCG
rnacentral:lncRNA from 1 species